AUAAACCUCACUUUUAUAUGCACUGGGAAACCAAAAAAUUCAUGUUACUCUGUGAUAGUCGCUGUAUUGCAGUGGUCUGGAACUGAACCCAGAGCGUCUGAGGUUUGCCUGGAUUAGGACUAUAAUAGUAUUAGAAAGCCCUAAAAGGAUUUUUUUCAAAACUGUUAUUGUGGAAACUUCGGUGGUCACUUUUUAAUGAACUUAAAGUAUUUUGCUUGUUGGUGUUUACAUGAGUAGUCUCUACUUCACCCUCUGGGGGUUGCUAUAUUUUGUGGCAGGAUUGCUGUCAGUAAUUAAGAUAGUGCAUGUGAUCUUCUGUAACUUCAUAACUGCACACAAUGCCCCAUAAACAGAAGGUAUUAAGCAGUGUGACCAACAGCGUACUGCUUGGGCUCCUGAUGGUUCUCCUGCUGAGCGUGAAUGAAGGGCGAUGAGCCGGAGGCAGCGCCUCAGUUAGAAACGUCAGUGUGUCAAUAGUGACAAAAGCCGGUCGUUACUAAGAAAGGUCAGCUGUAAAAAGUCCAAAUGUAUAAUCAUGCUGACAGGUAAGUAAAGAGAUGAUAAAAUGAAAUACUAAGUAAGAAAUUUAGCUCUGUUGCUUUAGCGAAUGGCUGUUUGAUCUAAAUAGUUGUUCUCUCAGUAGAGUUUUUUAAUUGGAGAAGUACGGUUGAUCUACAGUGCUGUGUUUCAGGUGUACAGCAAAUUGAUUUAGUUAUACAUAUCUAUGUAUAUGUACUCUUCUUCAGACUCUUUCCCCUUACAGUUUAUUACAAAAUAGUGAGUAGAGUUCCCUGUGCUGUACACAGGAGGACCCUGCUGUUGAGUAGAUGUCUAUAUCUUGGGUUUGCAAAACAGCCAGUGGGACACGGACCUUUAUGAAGGUUCCUCAUUGUUUCCACUUUCCCCAAACUUACUUAAAGCUUGGUGUUAAUCCCAUAACCAAGUAGGACGCUAGUCAGAAAAAUUAUAUACUAAAGUGUUUGUUAGUGGCAUUGAAUGUAAAAUACAGCCCAGUGGGUUACGGUGGUUUCUCCAAUUGCUCUUGCUUUAAAAGAGGUUUCCGUCAGAAAUGAAACAUGUAGCAGUUAGAAACUUGAUCUCCAUUACAAAUGUGGAAUCUUGAUUAUGCACACUGUUUAAAAAUGACACCAUACCGAGGACAGAGAAGGACAGUAUUUAUGUAUGGUAAAAAGGCAAGUGAAUGAAGCUGUAAAUUUUAUUUCAUUUCUCUUAAUACAUCCACAGCUAUUGCCACCUAAAUAGAUCUUUAAAAUAAGCAUACACAAGUACUGACUAUUAUCUACAAAUAUUUAUUGUAACACUUGAAUAGAACUACAGGAAGCCCUUGGCACUGAUAGAAAAUAUUGAUUCACUGUUUGUUAGGUUACAAAAAUUUAUACAUAGCAAAAUUUAAUGCUCUUUACAUAAAAAAUAUUAGACUACUUAAACAAAA